rnacentral:rRNA from 1 species
UACGAAGGGGGCUAGCGUUGUUCGGAUUUACUGGGCGUAAAGCGCACGUAGGCGGAUCGUUAAGUCGGGGGUGAAAUCCCAGGGCUCAACCCUGGAACUGCCUUUGAUACUGUCGAUCUGGAGUAUGGAAGAGGUGAGUGGAAUUCCGAGUGUAGAGGUGAAAUUCGUAGAUAUUCGGAAGAACACCAGUGGCGAAGGCGACUUACUGGACACAUAUUGACGCUGAGGUGCGAAAGCGUGGGGAGCAAACAGG